rnacentral:rRNA from 1 species
GAUUAAGUUAUUAAGGGCGCACGGUGGAUGCCUUGGCACUAGAAGCCGAUGAAGGACGUUACUAACGACGAUAUGCUUUGGGGAGCUGUAAGUAAGCUUUGAUCCAGAGAUUUCCGAAUGGGGAAACCCAGCAUGAGUUAUGUCAUGUUAUCGAUAUGUGAAUACAUAGCAUAUCAGAAGGCACACCCGGAGAACUGAAACAUCUUAGUACCCGGAGGAAGAGAAAGAAAAUUCGAUUCCCUUAGUAGCGGCGAGCGAAACGGGAAGAGCCCAAACCAACAAGCUUGCUUGUUGGGGUUGUAGGACACUCUAUACGGAGUUACAAAGGACGACAUUAGACGAAUCAUCUGGAAAGAUGAAUCAAAGAAGGUAAUAAUCCUGUAGUCGAAAAUGUUGUCUCUCUUGAGUGGAUCCUGAGUACGACGGAGCACGUGAAAUUCCGUCGGAAUCUGGGAGGACCAUCUCCUAAGGCUAAAUACUCUCUAGUGACCGAUAGUGAACCAGUACCGUGAGGGAAAGGUGAAAAGCACCCCGGAAGGGGAGUGAAAUAGAACCUGAAACCGUGUGCUUACAAGUAGUCAGAGCCCGUUAAUGGGUGAUGGCGUGCCUUUUGUAGAAUGAACCGGCGAGUUACGAUUUGAUGCAAGGUUAAGCAGUAAAUGUGGAGCCGUAGCGAAAGCGAGUCUGAAUAGGGCGUUUAGUAUUUGGUCGUAGACCCGAAACCAGGUGAUCUACCCUUGGUCAGGUUGAAGUUCAGGUAACACUGAAUGGAGGACCGAACCGACUUACGUUGAAAAGUGAGCGGAUGAACUGAGGGUAGCGGAGAAAUUCCAAUCGAACCUGGAGAUAGCUGGUUCUCUCCGAAAUAGCUUUAGGGCUAGCCUCAAGUGAUGAUUAUUGGAGGUAGAGCACUGUUUGGACGAGGGGCCCCUCUCGGGUUACCGAAUUCAGACAAACUCCGAAUGCCAAUUAAUUUAACUUGGGAGUCAGAACAUGGGUGAUAAGGUCCGUGUUCGAAAGGGAAACAGCCCAGACCACCAGCUAAGGUCCCAAAAUAUAUGUUAAGUGGAAAAGGAUGUGGCGUUGCCCAGACAACUAGGAUGUUGGCUUAGAAGCAGCCAUCAUUUAAAGAGUGCGUAAUAGCUCACUAGUCGAGUGACACUGCGCCGAAAAUGUACCGGGGCUAAACAUGUUACCGAAGCUGUGGAUUGUCCUUUGGACAAUGGUAGGAGAGCGUUCUAAGGGCGUUGAAGCAUGAUCGUAAGGACAUGUGGAGCGCUUAGAAGUGAGAAUGCCGGUGUGAGUAGCGAAAGACGGGUGAGAAUCCCGUCCACCGAUUGACUAAGGUUUCCAGAGGAAGGCUCGUCCGCUCUGGGUUAGUCGGGUCCUAAGCUGAGGCCGACAGGCGUAGGCGAUGGAUAACAGGUUGAUAUUCCUGUACCACCUAUAAUCGUUUUAAUCGAUGGGGGGACGCAGUAGGAUAGGCGAAGCGUGCGAUUGGAUUGCACGUCUAAGCAGUAAGGCUGAGUAUUAGGCAAAUCCGGUACUCGUUAAGGCUGAGCUGUGAUGGGGAGAAGACAUUGUGUCUUCGAGUCGUUGAUUUCACACUGCCGAGAAAAGCCUCUAGAUAGAAAAUAGGUGCCCGUACCGCAAACCGACACAGGUAGUCAAGAUGAGAAUUCUAAGGUGAGCGAGCGAACUCUCGUUAAGGAACUCGGCAAAAAUGACCCCGUAACUUCGGGAGAAGGGGUGCUCUUUAGGGUUAACGCCCAGAAGAGCCGCAGUGAAUAGGCCCAAGCGACUGUUUAUCAAAAACACAGGUCUCUGCUAAACCGUAAGGUGAUGUAUAGGGGCUGACGCCUGCCCGGUGCUGGAAGGUUAAGAGGAGUGGUUAGCUUCUGCGAAGCUACGAAUCGAAGCCCCAGUAAACGGCGGCCGUAACUAUAACGGUCCUAAGGUAGCGAAAUUCCUUGUCGGGUAAGUUCCGACCCGCACGAAAGGCGUAACGAUUUGGGCACUGUCUCAACGAGAGACUCGGUGAAAUCAUAGUACCUGUGAAGAUGCAGGUUACCCGCGACAGGACGGAAAGACCCCGUGGAGCUUUACUGUAGCCUGAUAUUGAAAUUCGGCACAGCUUGUACAGGAUAGGUAGGAGCCUUUGAAACGUGAGCGCUAGCUUACGUGGAGGCGCUGGUGGGAUACUACCCUAGCUGUGUUGGCUUUCUAACCCGCACCACUUAUCGUGGUGGGAGACAGUGUCAGGCGGGCAGUUUGACUGGGGCGGUCACCUCCUAAAAGGUAACGGAGGCGCUCAAAGGUUCCCUCAGAAUGGUUGGAAAUCAUUCAUAGAGUGUAAAGGCAUAAGGGAGCUUGACUGCGAGACCUACAAGUCGAGCAGGGUCGAAAGACGGACUUAGUGAUCCGGUGGUUCCGCAUGGAAGGGCCAUCGCUCAACGGAUAAAAGCUACCCCGGGGAUAACAGGCUUAUCUCCCCCAAGAGUUCACAUCGACGGGGAGGUUUGGCACCUCGAUGUCGGCUCAUCGCAUCCUGGGGCUGUAGUCGGUCCCAAGGGUUGGGCUGUUCGCCCAUUAAAGCGGUACGCGAGCUGGGUUCAGAACGUCGUGAGACAGUUCGGUCCCUAUCCGUCGUGGGCGUAGGAAAUUUGAGAGGAGCUGUCCUUAGUACGAGAGGACCGGGAUGGACAUACCUCUGGUGUACCAGUUGUCGUGCCAACGGCAUAGCUGGGUAGCUAUGUGUGGACGGGAUAAGUGCUGAAAGCAUCUAAGCAUGAAGCCCCCCUCAAGAUGAGAUUUCCCAACUUCGGUUAUAAGAUCCCUCAAAGAUGAUGAGGUUAAUAGGUUCGAGGUGGAAGCAUGGUGACAUGUGGAGCUGACGAAUACUAAUCGAUCGAAGACUUAAUCAA